rnacentral:lncRNA from 1 species
CCGGCAGCUGCCCCGUCUGAGAGCUGGCUCCAUGUUCGGCUUUCCCAGGAGACGGUGCUGGAGGAGCAGCACAGGACGAGGAAGGGCUUCUCUUGCAGGCUCCUCAGUGAGGUGUCCCGCAGCAUCCAGCCUCCUGCAGCAGCCCAGAGAGUGGCCUGCCAGAGAGUUCCACCCACACCGGCACUUCAGCAAACUUUCCUGCAGCCAGGGCGCCUCGGCUGUACCAUCUCUAACAAGGGCCAAUGCUGCUCCCCAAGCUGGGACCCUCAGAGCCACACCAUGGCGGCUUGGAAGGUGGCAGGGCUGCAGAAGAGGCUGUGGAGGAACUUGGAGCGUGACUCCAAAGGACGACAAGCAGAGGAACCCUGGGCAUGUCAAGCCUCCCCUGUGCCCCUUUACCACCCCGUACCAGGGCCCUGCUUCUCCUGCAGGCUCUGAAUAAGCCUCCAAGUUGCCGCCAGAUUGCCCAGCACCCAGAUGACUUUCCAGCAAAGAAACUUAAGGAUGCAUAGUCCUUCAGGAUGGAUUUCUGCCUUUGCCCCAUGAAAUCUCCCGAGAUACAGACCCCAGAGCAUGGACCUCUCUUAGGAAUGUCCUCCAUUGCCUCCAGGUCCCUACAGGUCUCAGGUCAGAGGCAAGACAUCCAGGACAUCUAAUGCUCCAUCUAUGCCACCUGUGCCAGGCCUCUGAAGGUCACCCCUUCAAGAAAGCACCAGCCUGAGUCAGGGGGCCCGAGCUCCAGCCCUGCUCAGAAUGCCACUGCUCUCUCUGCUUCAGUCGUCUCACCCAGAAGUGAGGCCACCUCCAGAGUUGGGGCCAGGAUCAGAUGGGAUGAUGCAGGUGCAGGCGCCUUGUAAAGAGUGCAGGCUGCUGUUUGCUGACCACUCAUGCCGUGCCAUGCCCUGUGCUGAGUGCUUAAGUGUGUAAUCUCAUUUUGUCUUCACAAGAAUCUUCCAGGAGAGUCUAUUGUCAUUUCAUCUAAAGAGAAGGGAUCAAAGCUCAGGGAGGCCAUGGAACUGCCUAAAGGCACACAGCGGCCGAGACCUCAAAUCCCUGUUCUUAACCCUGUUCACACUGUGUUGUCAGGUGCUAGUCUGAGUUUUGUUAAAGGUACCUUUGAAGAACUAUUGAUAUGGUUAGGCUUUGUGUCCCCACCCAAAUCUCAUCUUGAAUUGUAAUCCCCGUAAUCCCCACAUGUCAAGGAGAAAACAGGUGGAGGUAACUGAAUAGUGGGAUCAGUUUCCCCCAUGCUGGUAUCAUGAUAAUGAGUUCUUAUGAGAUCUGAUGGUUUUAUAAGGGGCUCUUCCCCUUGGCUGAGCUUCUUCUUCCUGCCACCUUGUGAAGAAGGUGCUUGCUUCCCCUUCACCUUCCACCACGAUUGUAAGUUUCCUGAGGCCUCCCCAGCCAUGCGGAACUGUGAGGCAGUUAAGCCUCUUUCCUUUAUAAAUUACCCAGUCUUGGACAGUUCUUUAUAGCAGUAUGAAAAUGGACUAAUACAAUUAUCACCCCAAGAGAUAAGUGCAGGAGGAAUUUCAGGCUGUGCAUGUGUGGAGGAGACACGGGGUUGAGGAGAGCUUCUAGAAUUCCUCAAAUGACAAUAAUAGUGGCCAACUUGUGCAGGCUGUGUGCUAACCUGCACACAGUUAGCCUGCACAGGUUAGCCACUAUUAUUGUCAUUUGCUAGCCACUCUGAUGCUGUGGCUGACUAUGUGCAGGACUCUGCUAAAUUCUUUCUCUUGUUAACUCAUUUAAUACUUACCAUCCUCUAAGACAGGUACUGUUAUCAUCUCCAGUGUGCAGAUGGAAAAGCUGAGGCACAGAGAGGUGGCUUAAGGCAUUCAAAGGCAUGUGACUAGUUAGCCUCUGCCCCUUACAGCCUCAGCCACGACACCGAGGGAGCUACUUCUCCUCCCACUGACUCCUCUUCCUGAACCAGAAUGUACCUUGUGGGAGUUGUGGGACAAGGAAUAAAUGGGGGGCUAAUUGUCAGAAUAAGAACCCCAGACCCAGGACCCACAGUGAGGAUGGGGAUGUCUCUGCCCUGACUUUCAGGUCAAAAUCACCUUCUCUGUCUAUCACACCCCUCUCCCCCGACACCCAACAUAACACCUAUAGUCCAUGCUGUUCAAGGCUGUGGUGCUGAAGGAGGGGGUGUGGACUGGGUACCCUGGGACACAGGGCUGCUUGGCUGUUAGUCUCCUGGUUCCUCCCACCCCACCCCGGAGCCUCCCAAUCUCCCUCUUGAGUGUGUCCCAUCUCUGGCUCUCUGUGCCAGUUGCCCUUGUUUCCCUUACCCCCAUCCAUCCCUUUUCCUGGCACCAAGCUUCAGAUUGCAGGGUCACCUCAGCCACUGGACAGUCACAGGGAGCCAAGGACAAAAGGACCAGUGACAUCACUUGGGAAUGAGACCAGGAAGUUCAAGCCUGGCUGACGGGGCCAGGGAGGGGAGAGCUAACCAGGAGAUGACAGGUUCACCAACCUGUCAACAAGAGUGUAUCUAGACCCAGCAAUGCUAGGCUGUGGCUGAGCAAGUCACAUGGACUGUUAACCAAGGGGUCUAUCGGGGCAGCAGCAGCAAGGGACCUCCCCUGUAAUGCAAGACUUCUGUCACCUCAAGCUUCUUCUCCA